rnacentral:rRNA from 1 species
GACGAACGCUGGCGGCGUGCCUAAUACAUGCAAGUUGAGCGCUGAAGGUUGGUACUUGUACCAACUGGAUGAGCAGCGAACGGGUGAGUAACGCGUGGGGAAUCUGCCUUUGAGCGGGGGACAACAUUUGGAAACGAAUGCUAAUACCGCAUAAAAACUUUAAACACAAGUUUUAAGUUUGAAAGAUGCAAUUGCAUCACUCAAAGAUGAUCCCGCGUUGUAUUAGCUAGUUGGUGAGGUAAAGGCUCACCAAGGCGAUGAUACAUAGCCGACCUGAGAGGGUGAUCGGCCACAUUGGGACUGAGACACGGCCCAAACUCCUACGGGAGGCAGCAGGAGGGAAUCUUCGGCAAUGGACGAAAGUCUGACCGAGCAACGCCGCGUGAGGGAAGAAGGUUUUCGGAUCGUAAAACUCUGUUGGUAGAGAAGAACGUUAGUGAGAGUGGAAAGCUCAUCAAGUGACGGUAACUACCCAGAGAGGGACGGCUAACUACGUG